AAUCUUCCACAAUGGGCGAAAGCCAGAUGGAGCAACGCCGCGUGCGUGAAGAAGGUUUUCGGAUCGUAAAACUCUGUUUUAAGGGAAGAACAAGUACAGUAGUAACUUGCUGUACCUUGGCGGUACCGUAUUAUAAAGUCCCGGCUAACUACGUGCCAACAGCCGCGGUAAUACGUAGGUGGCAAGCGUUGUCCGGAAUUAUUGGGCGUAAAGCGCGCGCAGGCGGUCCUUUAAGUCUGAUGUGAAAGCCCACGGCUCAACCGUGGAGGGUCAUUGGGAACUGGGAGACUUGAGUGCAGAAGAGGAAAGUGGAAUUCCAAGUGUAGCGGUGAAAUGCGUAGAGAUUUGGAGGAACACCAGUGGCGAAGGCGACUUUCUGGUCUGUAACUGACGCUGAGGCGCGAAAGCGUGGGGAGCAAACAG
rnacentral:rRNA from 1 species